rnacentral:rRNA from 1 species
ACGGGAGGCAGCAGUAGGGAAUCUUCCGCAAUGGACGAAAGUCUGACGGAGCAACGCCGCGUGAGUGAUGAAGGUUUUCGGAUCGUAAAGCUCUGUUGUUAGGGAAGAACAAGUGCCGUUCAAAUAGGGCGGCACCUUGACGGUACCUAACCAGAAAGCCACGGCUAACUACGUGCCAGCAGCCGCGGUAAUACGUAGGUGGCAAGCGUUGUCCGGAAUUAUUGGGCGUAAAGGGCUCGCAGGCGGUUUCUUAAGUCUGAUGUGAAAGCCCCCGGCUCAACCGGGGAGGGUCAUUGGAAACUGGGGAACUUGAGUGCAGAAGAGGAGAGUGGAAUUCCACGUGUAGCGGUGAAAUGCGUAGAGAUGUGGAGGAACACCAGUGGCGAGGCGACUCUCUGGUCUGUAACUGACGCUGAGGAGCGAAAGCGUGGGGAGCGAACAGGAUUAGAUACCCUGGUAGUCCACGCCGUAAACGAUGAGUGCUAAGUGUUAGGGGGUUUCCGCCCCUUAGUGCUGCAGCUAACGCAUUAAGCACUCCGCCUGGGAGUACGGUCGCAAGACUGAAACUCAAAGGAAUUGACGGGGGCCCGCACAAGCGGUGGAGCAUGUGGUUUAAUUCGAAGCAACGCGAAGAACCUUACCAGGUCUUGACAUCCUCUGACAAUCCUAGAGAUAGGACGUCCCCUUCGGGGGCAGAGUGACAGGUGGUGCAUGGUUGUCGUCAGCUCGUGUCGUGAGAUGUUGGGUUAAGUCCCGCAACGAGCGCAACCCUUGAUCUUAGUUGCCAGCAUUCAGUUGGGCACUCUAAGGUGACUGCCGGUGACAAACCGGAGGAAGGUGGGGAUGACGUCAAAUCAUCAUGCCCCUUAUGACCUGGGCUACACACGUGCUACAAUGGACAGAACAAAGGGCAGCGAAACCGCGAGGUUAAGCCAAUCCCACAAAUCUGUUCUCAGUUCGGAUCGCAGUCUGCAACUC